rnacentral:rRNA from 1 species
UACGGGGGGGGGCAAGCGUUGUUCGGAAUUACUGGGCGUAAAGGGCGCGUAGGCGGUUCGAUAAGUCAGCUGUGAAAACCAUGGGCUUAACUCAUGGCCUGCAGUUGAGACUGUCGGGCUGGAGUGUGGGAGAGGAGAGUGGAAUUCCUGGUGUAGCGGUGAAAUGCGUAGAUAUCUGGAGGAACACCGGUGGCGAAGGCGGCAUCCUGGACCAAUUCUGACGCUGAGUGAGCGAAAGCCAGGGGAGCAAACGGG